UGUAUGUAUCGGCGCGCGCGGCUAUCGGUGACGACACCAUCAUCACCAUCAGCACCGAUACCAUCCUAUAGGUGUAGAUGUAUGCGGUACUGAUGAUGACGACAACGAUGUCGGUACUGAAAAAAUCUGGUGUUUUUUUUUCGGGUACUCAUCAUAAUUGCCACAAAACAGUGGGUUUUUAUGAGGAUUUUAUUUUUAUUAGGCGCAGAAUCGACAAUGACUAUAUAUCGUACAUAACAACGACUAAACAGCAACUAAUACUGCAAUAUGUGUUUUGCAAUGCAUUAUCAAUAGAAGAGCGCACCGGUAGGUCGGCUCUGGUAAUCGACUAACUAACUGACUGACUGACUGACUGACUGACGGAUAGAGUUAAAUGGCAAAGACGUAGUUGUGUUUUAGCUCAUAGAGAUUAAGAGUCGUUUUUUAUUAUUAUUUAAUCGCCAAUUCAUUAGACGCUAUGAGAAAUAUUUUUUUGCUAACAAAAAAAAAUCUCAUAUCUAUUUCAAUGAAAGUUUUUACAUAUGUUUUAUAUAAUAAUAAUAAU